UAGGGGUGAGCAUCGAAUUCGAAUUCGGUAAUUCGGUAGGUUGAAAUCGGUAAUUUUCGGUAAAUGGUUCUGGAAAUAUUCGACCUAAUUCGCAUUCGAAUUAGACACUACCGAAUUCGAAUUCAACCCGAAUUCAAUUCGGUAAACAAAAAAAUACCGAAUUACCGAAUUCCAGAAAACUGCAAGGGUCGCCAAUAUCUCUUCGUUCUCGUACUCACUCAGGCACACCACACAAAU
rnacentral:lncRNA from 1 species